CCUCCCAUCAGAGUGGUUGUGAUGUGGUGACUUGGACUCGUAUCACAGCCAGCUUUGAUGAGCGGAA
rfam:Dufourea novaeangliae contig1299, whole genome shotgun sequence.